UACGUAGGGUGCGAGCGUUAAUCGGAAUUACUGGGCGUAAAGCGUGCGCAGGCGGUUGGUUAAGUCUGAUGUGAAAGCCCCGGGCUCAACCUGGGAAUGGCAUUGGAAACUGGCUGGCUAGAGUGUGGCAGAGGGGGGUGGAAUUCCGCGUGUAGCAGUGAAAUGCGUAGAGAUGCGGAGGAACACCGAUGGCGAAGGCAGCCCCCUGGGCUAGCACUGACGCUCAGGCACGAAAGCGUGGGGAGCAAACAGG
rnacentral:rRNA from 1 species